CCAGCAAGACCAGAUGGCCGUGGGCCCCGUCCGUGCUGGGGGUGUGGUGUUUCCUGUUCCUGACAGCCUCGUGCCAGAAACCCUGGGAUUUUCGCGGACGGCGACCUUCCUUGCUUCCGCUUGUGAAAAGCCUUCCGGCCAUUUGCGGAGACACCUGAAGGGAGGCCUGCAGCGCUUCUUGCUUAAAUGGCUCACGAUUCCACCUCAGGCCCUCUUCACAGACGAGACACCGAGGUGGGAAGUGAGGGGACCGAGCUGGGGACACAGGUGGUGCGCGGAGGAGCCAGUCCGUCCAUACAAGGCCCUGUAGUUGGGCCCUGGAGGGGGUCCCUGGGGACGCGUGUCUGCUCGCCUCGCCUGUGUGCAUGGCUGGUCCCUUUGAGAGACUCCCAGCUCUCGGUCAAAAGGGUGUCAGGACAAGAGGCUGAGUGUUGCUGGGCAGACUCACCCGGGGUCUUCGUGGGCUCUGGAAGGCAGAGGAGACCUUCCUGGAACGUGGCUUCGGGUCUCCAUGCUCAGCGACACUGGCGGUAGACCAGCCAGCCCCGAAGGUCGCGGCCGCUCUGCAUUUUCAGGCGGCAUCUGAGAGCCAGCCCCAGUCUGCGCCCAGCCCUGCGGGUGGGGCUGUCCCAGGAGCCAGAACCCUGGGGGCUGCUGGGGGCACCGGUGUCCCCGACCCUGCAGGCUGCCGGGGGAGGCCCCUGGGACGGCCAGCCACUUCGCGCCCUGCCCAGAGGCCCUCUCUUACAGGCCCCACUCCUCACGCCUCGAUAACGCCUCAAACCCCACAAAGUCCCACUUUCAUGUUUUGCCAGCAUUUUUCGCAUUGUGCUUAAAUCCUCUGAGGUCCUGGCAUUGCCUUGGGGUGUUUGCUGUUUGGUUUGAAGUUUUGCAACAUCUUUUGUGACCGUGAGCUUUGAAGCAGGAAGGCUAUGUGCUUUGAAAGCGUGUGUGCUCGGAGAGGUGCUGACCUCACGGGGGCCUUUUCUGGAGGGCUGGGCUGGGCGUGGGGGGCAGGGGGUGUUUGAGGGGUGUGCACACGGACUGCUGGGAAGGAGCUGGGGGACCGGUGGGCGUCUGAGUUCCGCUCAGGAGGAGGCCCCUGGCUGAUAGGCUUUGUGGCUGGUGUGAAUGGGAGGCUGGCUGCUCACCCUGGGGUACAUUCCCCAGACCCACCUCUGCCACCAGGAAUUCCAGAACCUUCCUGCAGGCAGGGACCAAGGCUCCAAUGACUUGGCCUCAUGAUCUUAGAGCAAAGGAGGCUGGAGCAGGGUGUAUCCAGGAAGCAUGAACUCCAUCCAUGGGAAAUCCAGCCUCCAGCUGCUGGGCUUUCUGCCCCGAAGCUCCCUGGUUGAGGGGCCUAUGGUCACGGUCAUCAAAUGUGGACCCCACGUGGAAGGGUGGGGGAGGGGAGCCGUUGACCACACGGGGUUUGUUGCCGGGAGGCGGGGUGAUGGUGUGAGGGGCUGUCCGAGUGCCCAUGGGAUCCCCAGGGGAGAGAGUCUGAAAUGCGAGGGAUGCGAGGCAUCUGGCAGGGGAGGGACAGGCAAAGGCGCUGCCCGGUGGUCUGCGGGUAUGUGGGGCAGCGGGUGAAGCUGGGGGCUUGUCAGAAACCUCGUUUCCACCAAGCAUGUAAAUGUCCAGAAAGGAGUUGGAAGACAGGCCAGAGCGUUGGGGUGAGAUCACGGAUCACCUGUGAGCUGGGUGGUGAGAGCGCCCCUCGGUGGUCAGCACUGCAGAACGGCCCUGGGAAGGGGACUUCCUCCUGGCCACUUCUGUUUGCUCAGAGAGCAGGCAGCCUGGGGGAGGGGCCCCGGAAGUCGGCCAGGGAGGGUGCUGCCCCCCUGCAGCCUCGCGGGACGGGACCCUCACCCACACGGGCCAAUUGCCUGCCAAGAGGAUAGCAACAUCCCCACGCCGGGGCCCUUUGGGGGGCUGCUCGCCUUCCCCUGGCAGCACCCUGCCUCCCUGCCCUGCUCCCCAGGCACUCCCCGACCUUGAUUCUGGCUGCUUCGGAGCCGGAACCCAAGGGCCUCCUGGCCCAGCCUGAUGCUCUGAUUACCGGGAGCCCACCCCCCCCUCGAGGGAGGCCGUCAGGGGCUCCAGGUGCGCCUGGCUGCCGGGUCCCCGAAGCGCCAUCAUCCCGGCGAGGCACUCGGGCAGCCUGCCAGGCACGGUGCUGGGGGCUGUCGAGGCAGGCACCAGGGGAAUUCCGCUCAGAGGGAGGGAGGGAGGGGCCGCCCAGCCCAGCAGGUGCCCGGCCACCGCGCCAGGUGCCAGGCAGGGUUUGGCAGGGCUGUUUGAUGUGGGAAUUUCUUCUCUCUCUGAUGAAUCCCUAAUGCACCUAGAAUCCAGGAGCAGCCUGACAUCAGGCCCAGGCCCCUUGCGCCCCCUGCCCAGGCGGGCACAGCUGUGGGCAAAGACGCUCCCCACUCUGGCUUCUGAGAGGGAGGAGCCUGGCCUCUGGCUGAGGGCGCGGUGUGGGCUGUGUUCUGGGAGGAGCUCUGGCGGCCCUGUGUGGGGAGGAGGGGUCAUUGACAGCCGGUGGCUACGACCCCGGGAAGCCUCCCGGGUCUCUGCCACCCUCUGCCCAGAUGAAAUCCAAGAUGCCUGGCUCAGUUUGCAUUCCGGGUAAACAAUGAAUAAUUUUUUAGUAAAAGCGUGUCCCCAGCAGUGCGUGGGGUGCACACAAUUGUUUCUGGAAUUCAGACUGAACGCGGCACCCCCGUCCUUGCUGUAUGGGGGGGCACACAGAACAGAGGCAGGAUGACGACCCCUCUAAACCACACACACAUCUCCCUCCCUCCUCCCUCUGCCAGCCACACCCUUGGCCUUCCUCCUGCCUCUGCCUGUGCUCCCAGAGCCUCCCGCAGCCCCUCCUCAGCCCCCGUCUGCGCAUCCCUCCGUGCUGGGACUGAAGCCGAGGGAGCAGGCUGAGGGUCACGCAGCUUGGAGCCGGAAGGAAGCCCUGGCACCUGGGGAGAUCCUCUCCUCGGACCACCUGCUGGCCACUUUAUGUGCAUGUGUGCAGGUGUGUGUGUGUGUACACAUGUUCACGAGCACGCACGCAGCAUGUACAGUUGUGUGUGCACGUGUGUGCAUGCAGGCGUGUGCAUGCGUGGAUGUGUAGGUGUGCUUGUGUCUGUACAUGUAGGCUUGUGCAUUUACAGGCGUGCAGUUUCCCAGUGGCGUGGUUUCCUGGCACAGGGCUGGAGGGAGCCUGUGGUCUAGCGGGCUGACAGCUGCUGUUUGGUUUCCGAGGAGUCACAGAGCUGCCAUGUGUGACUCUCUGCACAGGUCUGGGUCCCCAGCAGGUGUCCUGCGGAGCAGCCGCAGAGCGGACAAUGCUGAAGGCUCCAUGGGCCCCAAGUGUCUCUGAGCCUGCUUGGAUGCUGUGAGGUGGCCCCAGCGGACAGAAAUAGUGCCACCUGAUGGAGCCACAGUGAGGAGAGGACACGCUCACCCAGAAGAGCCCUAGCCCAGCUCCUGGUGCCUGCACGGAGUCAGUGACCGCCGGGUGGCCUGGUCCCUUUGUCCUUGUCCGAACGUUCGGCGCCGCGGACUGGGAGGUUUUCCACAUCGGAGACAGGGUGUUCCUUGCGGUCGCUAACAGUCACAGCUACGACGUGCAGAUGCAAGUGCACAAUGACUCCUACGUCAUCAACUCGGUCAUCUACGAGCUGAACGUCACCGCGCAGAUGUUCGUCAAGUUCCAGGAGAUUCCCACCUGCAGUGCCCUGGACUGGGAGUUUUUCUCAGUGGGAGAAGAUUAUUUCCUGGUGGUGGCAAACUCCUUUGAUGGAAACACCUUCUCCGUCAACAGUAUUAUUUACAGGUAAAGAGCCUCCAAAGGCCGCCCCCUCCUCGCCACCUGAGUCUGCCUGGGAUGGGGGGUGCUCACCUUCUCUGCAGGGCAGGUGACCUCCCGCUGCAGCGU